UAGUCCACGCCGUAAACGAUGAGAACUAGAUGUCGGGGGGAUUUACCCUUCGGUGUCGCAGCUAACGCGUUAAGUUCUCCGCCUGGGGAGUACGCCGGCAACGGUAAAACUCAAAGGAAUUGACGGGGACCCGCACAAGCGGUGGAGCAUGUGGUUUAAUUCGAUGCAACGCGAAGAACCUUACCUGCCCUUGACAUUGACAGAACCCUUUAGAGAUAGAGGGGUGCCUUCGGGCCUGGAAAACAGGUGCUGCAUGGCUGUCGUCAGCUCGUGUCGUGAGAUGUUGGGUUAAGUCCCGCAACGAGCGCAACCCUUGUCCUUAGUUGCCAUCAUUUAGUUGGGCACUCUAGGGAGACCGCCGGUGAUAAACCGGNGGAAGGUGGGGACGACGUCAAGUCAUCAUGGCCUUAUGGGGCAGGGGCUACACACGUGCUACAAUGGGGCGGUACAGAGGGGUUGCCAAGCCGCAAGGGUGGAGCUAAUCCCAGAAAGCCGUUCGUAGUCCGGGAUUGGGAGUCUGCAACUCGAC
rnacentral:rRNA from 1 species